rnacentral:rRNA from 1 species
GAUGAACGCUGGCGGCGUGCCUAAUACAUGCAAGUCGAACGCUGAAGGAGGAGCCUGCUCUUCUGGAUGAGUUGCGCACGGGUGAGUAACGCGUAGGUAACCUGUCUGGUAGCGGGGGAUAACUAUUGGAAACGAUAGCUAAUACCGCAUGACGACAGUUAUUGCAUGAUAACCGUUUAAAAGAGGCAACUGUUCCACUACCAGUUGGAGCUGCGUUGAAUUAGUUAGUUGGUGAGGUAACGGCUUACCAAGGCGACGAACCAUAGCCGACCGGAGAGGGGGAUCGCCCACAUGGGACUGGGGAACGGGCCCAGCUCCUUCGGGGAGGAGCAGUAGGGAAAUCUCGGGAAUGGGCGGAAAGCUGAACGGGCAACGCCGCGGGAGUGAAGGAGGGUCUCCGGUCGGAAAGAUCCGUUGUAUGGGAAGGAAGAGUGUUAUAAUGAAAAGUGCACACUGUGACGGUAUCUAAUCAGAAAGCGACGGCUAACUACGUG